rnacentral:rRNA from 1 species
CGGCAGGCUUAACACAUGCAAGUCGAGGGGUAGUCAUUUUCGGAUGAUGAGACCGGCGCACGGGUGCGUAACGCGUAUGCAAUCUACCUUUCACAAAGGGAUAGCCCAGAGAAAUUUGGAUUAAUACCUUAUAGUAUAGCAGUCUCGCAUGAGACCACUAUUAAAGAUUUAUCGGUGAAAGAUGAGCAUGCGUCCCAUUAGCUAGUUGGUAUGGUAACGGCAUACCAAGGCUACGAUGGGUAGGGGUCCUGAGAGGGAGAUCCCCCACACUGGUACUGAGACACGGACCAGACUCCUACGGGAGGCAGCAGUGAGGAAUAUUGGACAAUGGGCGCAAGCCUGAUCCAGCCAUGCCGCGUGCAGGAUGACGGUCCUAUGGAUUGUAAACUGCUUUUAUACGAGAAGAAACCCUCCUUCGUGAAGGAGCUUGACGGUAUCGUAAGAAUAAGGAUCG